rnacentral:rRNA from 1 species
AACGAACGCUGGCGGCAUGCCUAACACAUGCAAGUCGAACGAGACCUUCGGGUCUAGUGGCGCACGGGUGCGUAACGCGUGGGAACCUGCCUUUAGGUUCGGAAUAACUCAGAGAAAUUUGAGCUAAUACCGGAUAAUGUCUUCGGACCAAAGAUUUAUCGCCUUUAGAUGGGCCCGCGUUGGAUUAGCUAGUUGGUGGGGUAAAGGCCUACCAAGGCGACGAUCCAUAGCUGGUCUGAGAGGAUGAUCAGCCACACUGGGACUGAGACACGGCCCAGACUCCUACGGGAGGCAGCAGUGGGGAAUAUUGGACAAUGGGCGAAAGCCUGAUCCAGCAAUGCCGCGUGAGUGAUGAAGGCCUUAGGGUUGUAAAGCUCUUUACUCGGGACGAUAAUGACGGUACCGAGAG